rnacentral:rRNA from 1 species
UACAGAGGGUGCAAGCGUUGUUCGGAAUUAUUGGGCGUAAAGGGCGUGUAGGCGGUUUGCUAAGUCAUGUGUGAAAUCCCUCGGCUUAACCGAGGAACGACGCAUGAUACUGGCAAGCUAGAGUACCAAAGAGGGGGGUGGAAUUCCCGGUGUAGCGGUGAAAAUGCGUAGAUAUCUGGAGGAACAUCAGUGGCGAAAGCGACUUCCUGGACCAAUACUGACGCUCAUGUGCGAAAGCGUGGGGAGCAAACAGG